rnacentral:RNase_P_RNA from 1 species
GGCGAUGAACCGCCGCCGCGUUGCCGCGGCGCCGCCGCGGCAACGAGGAAAGUCCGGGCUCCGCAGGGCAUGAUGCCGGCUAACGGCCGGGGACGCCGGCGUCCGGCACAUGAUGCCGGGCGCCGGCGCCACAGACAGCGCAACAGAAAGUAUACCGCCGUGUUUCCGCCGAGGCGGACGCACGGUAAGGGUGAAAUGGCGGGGUAAGAGCCCGCCGCGGAAUUGGCAACAAUUCCGGCAUGGCAAGCCUCAUCAGGAGCAAAGCUAAACAGCGCUUGGGCUGCCCGCCCCUAAGCGCGGGUAGGCUGCAUGGAAGCCGCCGGUAACGGCGGCUCAAGACAGAUGGCGGCAUCCUUUUUUUUGUGAGAGUAUCCCAACAGAAAGGAACAGAAUCCGGCUUACGGUUCAUCGCCUUUU